UGCAUGUCUCAGUGCAAGCCAAACUAAGGUGAAACCGCAAAUGGCUCAUUAAAUCAGUUAUGGUUCAUUAGAUGAUACACCACAUUACUUGGAUAACUGUGGUAAUUCUAGAGCUAAUACAUGCAAACAGAGUUCCCACCGGAGACGGUAGGAACGCUUUUAUUAGAUCAAAACCAAUACGUUCGUUCUGCGGACGCUACCAUUGGUGACUCUGAAUAACUUUUUGAUGAUCGCAUGGUCCUUGUACCGGCGACAAGUCUUUCAAAUGUCUGCCUUAUCAACUGUCGAUGGUAGGCUCUGCGCCUACCAUGGUUGUAACGGGUGACGGGGAAUCAGGGUUCGAUUCCGGAGAGGGAGCCUGAGAAACGGCUACCACAUCCAAGGAAGGCAGCAGGCGCGCAAAUUACCCACUCCCGGCACGGGGAGGUAGUGACGAAAAAUAACGAUACGGGACUCAUCCGAGGCCCCGUAAUCGGAAUGAGCACACUUUAAAUACUUUAACAAGUAUCCAUUGGAGGGCAAGUCUGGUGCCAGCAGCCGCGGUAAUUCCAGCUCCAAUAGCGUAUAUUAAAGUUGUUGCGGUUAAAAAGCUCGUAGUUGGGACUGUGUCCCGCACUGUCGGUGCGCCAUUUAUGGUGUUUACUGACAUGCUGCGGGACGUC
rnacentral:rRNA from 1 species